GUCAAAACCAUUCAAUGGUCAACUCUCAAGUCCCCCACCGGGCCCACGGUUCACACUAACUCCGGUUCAAGCUGUCCCAAAGAGUGGAACAUUGCCGCCGGGCGAACCCGACCCGGUUCUUUUCCAAAUCAUAAACUACCUCAAAACCCUGUUGUUGGUAGUUCCCAAGCGUGGCCCCGGGCCCACCUGCCAGCUCAACCUCAUCUCCACCGUUCAUCAGCAUCAAACACCCAACUUUUCUUUUCCUCCCCACCCCAUCUCCACUGUCCAAAAACUCAUAGAAAUAAUUCUUCCUAGGAAGCACGACACUGGAUUGUUCCCCAACGAAAUGCAACACGACACGUGGCACUUCAACUGAGCCCUCAUAGUAGUAGCAAGGGCUCAAACCGAUACUUUCUUCAAUCCGUCUUGCCCGGUUCGCAACUCUUCCGGUCCGGUUCUCAAACUCCG
rnacentral:misc_RNA from 1 species